UUUUGUAGGUUUUGUAUAUAAAUGUACAGAGGGUGGCCAUUGUAUCAAAAAAAAAAAAAAACUUCUGCAAUUGAAAUUAUUUCCUCCAUUUUCCCUUCUCUUUUCUCAACAGGAACUGUAUGUAGGAUCUGUGGGAUCAUGGUUGCGAUGAAGGAUUUUAAGUUACAACUCCUGGUUAGAGGAAAGUGUCCUCUUUUUCUUUUGCGUUUUAUAAAGAAAACUAAAUUACACAUAACAUGCAUGGGGCAACAUUGAGUAAAACUCUUUCACAAUUGCUUUUGACGUGUCACAUUAACCAAAAUCUCUAUAAGUUUUGCUCACGUUCUAGCUGUUUGCAUUCCCUUUAUUCCAUUUUACAAUUUGUGCCUUAAAAAAAAUGAUCUUUUGGUAAGCUUUAUUAAUUAAAUCUAAUGGCAUUUCUGUCAACAAUUUUGACAUAUGGAACUUUUUUAUCAUAUUUCCCCUCUCAUAUUAUAACAAAGUAUAGAUAUUUGUAUUGAGUUUUCCUAUCCAAAUAGGACUUCAUGGGACAAGCAUGUUGAUGUGCCUCAAUAUUGGUAUAUCUCCUCGAUCUUGACCACAACUGCACUAGACAAGGAACCUAUGUAGAACACCCUAGUACAAUCAAUAUAAUCCUUUAGAGUGCACUACUACAUUCUUUUUAUGCUAUUAUUUAAUUUAUCAUGUAUCACUGGAUGUCUUUCCCCUCACGUACUAUUCUAAGCUGUCUCUUCUCUGCAAACUAGUUGAAGUUUAGGUCUUUCUAGGAUCGGGUAGGAUGGUGUUUAAACACAUUUGGGGCUUGGCCCAAGCUCGCUAUAUAUUUAAGCCCAACUUAUGAGCCAGUUUAGCAUGAGCAAUUUCUUAUAUUUGUUUGCCAAUGGCUUUUUGGGUCUGCUGGGUUAUAGUUGACACUGAUGUGGCUUGAAUUUGGCUUGUGUUUUAAAUUUUAUAUUGUUUAGGAGUUGUUAUUGAGGCACGACCUAUUCGUGAACAUGUUCAUUCAUUCAUUGCUCUGGUCAUCAAUUCCAUCCUUUAUUUCAUUCUUGAACCUGAAAAAGAAGAACAAUGUAAGCAAUACAACUAGCUUGCAUCUUAGUGACCAAGGUUUAUACUCUUAAUAAUAUUUGCUGAUCUUAAUAAACUCUACGUUUUUCUCUCUAUGAUUUUUUUUUAUAAUUUUCUGAAGUCAACAUUUCCACUGAGGAUACCGCUCCAAUUUUACCAUGUGAAAUUAGUUAUAUAAGAAAUUAAACAAGGGCUAAACUAUGCAAGCCAUAUUGAAUGUCUAGCAUUUAUAAUGUUAGGUUGAUGCAAUUGAUGAAGAUUUUGCUAUCAUCCUUUUAUUUACUAAAUGCUCUAUGUUAGCAAUAAUAGAAUUUCAAGGUCACUUAAAUGAUGUCAUGGUGAUAAAGUGAUAACUCUGAAUUUUUGAGGUAACAUUUGGUGGUUCUGAUCUCUGAAAAGAACUCAUCCAUGAUGAAGCAUCUUUUUCUUGGAGCUAUCAACUUCAAGCACAUAAUGAAUUUUUUUAAAAUUGGAGUAACGAUUUUAUUACUCCCUUCCAAGUGUUCUAUGGAAGUUAGGGUACUCUUAUCUUGAGAGAAGAGUAACUUAUUUGUUAACUUUCAACCUUAUUAAACCUGCAUUUAUUUAGCGUUUAAUGUAGGGUUUUUUGCAUGUAUUCCUCUAGUCUCUAAUAUUUAAUAUGUUCAAUGACAUCCUUUAUCCUCUCUUAUAUUAUUCAAGAUAGUUUGGGUCAUUCAACUUUGUUUUAUUGUAUACACUGGUAGUCUCUAUGUUCUCUUAUUCUAUACAUGAUAUUACUUGAGGAUUUUAUAAUUGGAUGUGGCUUUUACCUUUUAGGGGCUUCAAUAAAUGCUUUUGGGGCAAUUGUUUUGGGUGCACCUGUUGGUAUUAAGUAUUUGACAAAGACAAUCUACUGGUCUUUCCUCAUGUCCUUAUUCACUGUGGAGUGUCUGUGGUGCUUGUGUACAUGUGAGCCUUGUUCAUAAUCAAAAACUUGGAUCUGAUACUAGCUUGGAUGCUGUCCCCAUCCUUGCUGUUCAUAUG